rnacentral:rRNA from 1 species
UACAGAGGGUGCAAACGUUGCUCGGAAUUAUUGGGCGUAAAGCGCACGUAGGCGGCCAUGUAAGUCAGGAGUGAAAGCCCUCGGCUUAACCGGGGAAGUGCUUUUGAAACUGCAUGGCUUGAAUACUGAAGAGGGUCGCGGAAUUCCCGGUGUAGAGGUGAAAUUCGUAGAUAUCGGGAGGAACACCAGUGGCGAAGGCAGCUCGCUGGGACGGUACUGACGCUGAGACGCGAAAGCGUGGGGAGCAAACAGG